UACGUAGGUGGCAAGCGUUGUCCGGAUUUACUGGGCUUAAAGAGCGCGCAGGCGGUCGAAUAAGUCGAAUGUGAAAGCCCCCGGCUUAACUGGGGAGGGUCAUUCGAUACUGCUCGACUUGAAGGCAGGAGAGGGUAGUGGAAUUCCCAGUGUAGCGGUGAAAUGCGUAGAUAUUGGGAGGAACACCAGUGGCGAAGGCGGCUCACUGGACCGGAACUGACGCUGAGGCGCGAAAGCGUGGGGAGCAAACAGG
rnacentral:rRNA from 1 species